GUCACCAAGCAAUGCGAUUUGGGGGGUCGGCGCAACGCGGCACUCACCGAGCUGUAGGAACUAACCAAGGCAAAGUUCAGUAUGUAGAUAUGGGAUGCAAGAGAAUCAGACCAAUGGAAAAUCAUCGCAUGCGAGUGGGUGCUCUUGCAUGGAGCUCUUCAUUGCUUUCUUCUGGCAGUCGCGACAAGAAACAUUCUUCACCAUAAUAUCCGUGCUCCGUACGCCUACGUUAGCAAACUUACUGGGCAUAAAUCAGAGGUCUGUGGACUCAAGUGGUCUUAUGAUAACCGUCAGCUUGCAUCUGGUGGUAGCGACAGCGGAGUAAGAUUCAUGUCCACAAGUUUCCAUCGUAAUAAGUGCAUGCCACAUGGAGUUCAUGAUCUUUUUUCUUCUUCUGCUCGUACUAUUUGUUUUCCUUCUCUAGCUUUUUGUAUGGAAUCAACAUUCAGACAUUCAGUACAGCCAGUACUGAGGUAUACGGAGCACACACCAGCUGUGAAACCUAUUGCCCGGUCACCUCAUCUCCAUGGGCUUCUUGCUUGCAUCUGGUGGAGGAACUGCAGAUAGAUGCAUACAUGUUCGGAAUACGACCACAAAUACACACUUGAGUUGCAUGGACACAUGAGGUCAGGUAAUUUGCUACUUAUCAGUCUUCAACAGUUGCAUGCAGCCCUUGUUUAUGUUUGUGAACUUAAAUUGAUUUUCAAUAUAUGUACUACCAUAUUUAAGUAUCACGAUAUCUACUAUUAAGCUUAAUAUCUAUCUAAAGCUUUGUGCACCGUUACUGAUAGAAGAGUGUAGCAUCAAUUUCCCCUGCUAACAUCAGAAAAGAUCUUAUCUGGCUGAGCUUUACUUACAAAAACGGAAGUAUUAAUUUAACACACACAAACGACCCUACAAGUACUCCACUAUCAUCCCCAUAUUAUUUUUGAAAAAAAAUAUAUAACAUGCUGCCCUUGGAGUUUUGAACGAAGCUUUUUGGGUAUUUUAAUUGCAAGUUUUCUCUAGCCAUGGAGAGCUUAUUUUGUUUCAAUUGUUCAUGUUUGUG